GACAGCAAAAGCUAUUCACUGAAAAUAUUUAUAUUAGUAUGGGUAUAAACUAAAAUACAGCCUAUAAUAAUACAGUAGCCUACUCGACGUCGAUAAUAUGCCCAUUCUCAGAUUAUUAACUAGUCUUUAACAACUACGAAAUCUCUUCUUGAAUCCACGAGUCGUACAAGUUACGUCAUAUAAUGCAAACGAUCUCAUAUUAUGCGCCCACUACAUAUAGAUAGAUUGUAGCCGUCCGGAGCCUUUUCGUCAUAACGGAGCGGCAUGACGUCGAGCCGCAUCAAACGCUUCCAUUCAGGCAGGAGCUUUAUUAUGCAGAAAUACCAAAAUGAUUGGCCUGAUAUCAAAAUGAGUGAUCAUAAAUAAUAACGCGAGAGUUUGCAAGUUGCCUGCCGACUGUAGUCACAACUGUCAAAGGCAGCAGCAGCGGAUACGCGCGUGACCCAGCACCCAUACUGUUACUGUACACGGUCGCGGAGAUAAUAUCCCUAUCAAACAAAUACACGGCAUAAUCCCGAGGUAAGGAGAGGAAUAUAUCGAGGGGGCUGCGGCGGAAACUGCGCGACGCCGUGCCUUUCCCCUCCGCUUUCCGUCGCGUUCACUUCUUCCAGCCUCGAUUACUGCACUAAACAUAUCCCCGUGCCUCCUUUAGCAACAGCGCGAGGUUUUUUUUUUUUUUUUUUUACUCCUCCUUCGUAUUAAAGUCGCCAUUUUGCUUCACUGCCUAUGAAAGCUUCUUGUAUUUUGAUAUUUUUUGCCGGCGUUUCUCCGUAUCUGUGUGCGUGCUUAUGAGUUGGAUUUUAAUGAGACAGCUCGUGGAUUACAUAUUAAUGAAGAGGGGCGCCGAGUGCAGUCUGGAAACACGGUGAAAGUAGUCGGCUUGUGAGCAUUUGCAUCAGCUGGCUCUUUUUUCCUUCUUCAUCUUCUUCCUCCUCCUUCAUCAUCUUCCUCCGCGGAUACGCACAGCGGGGGCCGUGAGUGUGGCUACCGACCGUGACGCCCGUCUCCCCGCGACCCCCCGCGCGUCAGGUGUGUUUGCCAUGUAAAGUGAAGCUGCGCGACGCGAGAGUAAAGGCUACAGCCUGACCCCACGUGGGUGACCCGCUCACCCGCUCACCCGUCAGUGUUGGGUGGCUUUCCAGGCAUGGACACCUCCAGCAGUGCCCGGGUGGUGAAGCCUUUCUCGGGCACGUCAAAGGGGCGCUCUGCCAAACAGGCCCACCCUGCCGAGCCGGCCCUCAUCGGCAGCACUGAAAACGACAAUCAUGGGUGGCUGGGUGCACUCUUAUAGAUAGAGUGAGGAGUUCUGUCAACCGUGGGGAGCCUGGAGUAAAGCUGCUGCUCCACCACAUCGAGAUAAGUCAGCUAAGUUGGCUCGGACAUUUGUUUGGGGUGCCUCAUGGACACUUACCUAGGGAGGUGUUCCAGACAUGUCCCACUGGGAGAAGGCCUCGAGGAAGACCUAGGAGGAAACUAUGUCUCUCAGCUGGCCUGGGAAUGCCUCGGGAUCCCCCCGGAGGAAGUGUCUGGAGAGAGGGAAGUCUGGGCCUCUCUCCUGAGACUGCUGUCCCCACGA